rnacentral:lncRNA from 1 species
GAGAAGAGCAAGUCACAGGCUUCUCAAGCUUCAAUGUGCACAAGAAUCAGCUGGGCAUCUAGUUAAGAGGCCCAUUCAGUAAAUGCAGGUGCCGUGUGGCUGGGGUGCUGCCUUUCUAACAAGCUCCUAGGUGAUGCCAAUGCUGUGGAUCCAUUGGCUACCCUUUGAGUAGCAAGGCCUAGAGCACUCAUCUAGUGGGGCCGGGAAGGGAUUUUGCACUAUGCAGAAGAGAAGAACAUUCUCAAUACAACUUUCCUGCCAUUGUUUGCUGGCAGGGUUGUAGCUUCUCUUUUGUAAGCCUGUCUUUCCUGGUCCUGUUGUCCCACAAACAACGAUUCAGACUCCAGUUGUCAGCUUCAGUGUGCCACCCCUUGGAGAGAAUGAGUUUAAGGGAAACUGUAGUCUGUUUCUGGAAUUACAAUAUCACUAAAUGGCUCUUCUGUGGACCCACAACUUCACGGAAAUUUCAUGAGAGCUGACUUCUCUCAUCUGCCUUAGACAGAUCCUGUAAGGCAAAGAAAAAGGAAGAUCAGAGGAGGUAUAGAAUUUGCCCAAUGUUGCACGUAAUCAGUAAAUGUAAUGACGAGGGUGUGAACACCCAAGUGUAAUAUAUCUUCUGCUGGUAUUGCAGUUGCAGUGGGAGGAACGCCUUGCCCCUACCUACUAAAUCCUACUUGGAAGCAAAAGUCUAAAAACUGACUAUUAAUCUAUUUUUUUUCAUCAAUGAAAGCACCCUGAGUCAUAUUGCUUUGCCAAUAUUUUAUUAUGAAAAUUUUCAAACAAACAGCAAAAUUGAAAGAAGUU